rnacentral:rRNA from 1 species
GCCAGCAGCCAUAUUACCCUGCAUCUCACAACUAGCAGUCCACUGAAGCUAAGCAGGUGUGAGCCUGGUCAGUACCUGGAGGGGAGACUCCUGGGAAAAGUUGAGGUUGCUGCUGGAU